GUCGAACGAUGAUAGAGAGCUUGCUUUUCUUGAUUAGUGGCGCACGGGUGAGUAAUGCAUAGAUAAUGUGCCCCUUAGUUCGGGAUAGCCACUGGAAACGGUGAUUAAUACCGGAUACUCCUUCUUGUUAUAAGACAAGUCGGGAAAGUUUUUCGCUAAGGGAUCAGUCUAUGUUCCAUCAGCUUGUUGGUGAGGUAAUGGCUCACCAAGGCUAUGACGGAUAUCUGGUUUGAGAGGAUGAUCAGACACACUGGAACUGAGACACGGUCCAGACUCCUACGGGAGGCAGCAGUGAGGAAUAUUGCACAAUGGAGGAAACUCUGAUGCAGCAACGCCGCGUGGAGGAUGACGCAUUUCGGUGUGUAAACUCCUUUUAUUAGGGAAGAUAAUGACGGUACCUAAUGAAUAAGCACCGGCUAACUCCGUGCCAGCAGCCGCGGUAAUACGGAGGGUGCAAGCGUUACUCGGAAUCACUGGGCGUAAAGGGUGCGUAGGCUGGCUUUUAAGUCAGAUGUGAAAUCCAAUGGCUCAACCAUUGAACUGCAUUUGAAACUGAAAGCCUAGAGUUCAGAAGGGGCAGAUGGAAUUAGUGGUGUAGGGGUAAAAUCCGUAGAUAUCACUAGGAAUAUCAAAAGCGAAGGCGAUCUGCUGGGAUGAU
rnacentral:rRNA from 1 species